rnacentral:rRNA from 1 species
AGAGUUUGAUCCUGGCUCAGGAUGAACGCUAGCGAUAGGCCUAACACAUGCAAGUCGAGGGGCAUCACAUGAGGUAGCAAUACCGAUGGUGGCGACCGGCGCACGGGUGAGUAACACGUAUGCAACCUGCCUUCAACAAGGGGAUAACUCGUUGAAAGACGGACUAAUACCCUAUAACACAGGGCUCCCGCAUGGGACUAUUUGUUAAAGAUUAAUCGGUUGAAGAUGGGCAUGCGCUCCAUUAGCUUGUUGGCGGGGUAACGGCCCACCAAGGCAACGAUGGAUAGGGGAACUGAGAGGUUUGUCCCCCACACUGGUACUGAGACACGGACCAGACUCCUACGGGAGGCAGCAGUGAGGAAUAUUGGUCAAUGGAGGCAACUCUGAACCAGCCACGUCGCGUGAAGGAAGACGGCCCUACGGGUUGUAAACUUCUUUUGCAAGGGAAUAAAGUGCGGCACGCGUGCCGUUUUGCAUGUACCUUGCGAAUAAGGAUCGGCUAACUCCGUGCCAGCAGCCGCGGUAAUACGGAGGAUCCGAGCGUUAUCCGGAUUUAUUGGGGGUUAAAGGGGUGCGUAGGCGGCCCAUUUUAGUUCAGCGGGGGGAUUUUGCAGCUUAACUGCACCAGUGCCGUUGAUACUGUUUGGCUAGGAUUUGGUUGUAGUGUGCGGAAUGUGUGGUGUAGCGGUGAAAUGCUUAGAUAUCACACAGAACACCGAUUGGCGAAGGCAGCACACUAAGUCAUUAUUGACGCUGAGGCACGAAAGUGUGGGGAUCAAACAGGAUUAGAUACCCUGGUAGUCCACACUGUAAACGAUGAUAACUCGCUGUCGGCGAUACACAGUCGGUGGCCAAGCGAAAGCAUUAAGUUAUCCACCUGGGGAGUACGACCGCAAGGUUGAAACUCAAAGGAAUUGACGGGGGCCCGCACAAGCGGAGGAACAUGCGGUUUAAUUCGAUGAUACGCGAGGAACCUUACCCGGGCUCGAACGGUGCAUGAAUAUACGAGAGAUUGUAUAGUCCUUCGGGACAUGUAUCGAGGUGCUGCAUGGUUGUCGUCAGCUCGUGCCGUGAGGUGUCGGCUUAAGUGCCAUAACGAGCGCAACCCUUGUCAUUAGUUGCCAUCAGGUCAAGCUGGGGACUUUAAUGAGACUGCCACCGUAAGGUGUGAGGAAGGGGGGGAUGACGUCAAAUCAGCACGGCCCUUAUGUCCGGGGCGACACACGUGUUACAAUGGGAGGUACAGAGGGCAGCUAUCCGGUGACGGAAUGCUAAUCUCCAAAACCUUUCUCAGUUCGGAUUGGAGUCUGCAACUCGACUCCAUGAAGGUGGAUUCGCUAGUAAUCGCGCAUCAGCCAUGGCGCGGUGAAUACGUUCCCGGGCCUUGUACUCACCGCCCGUCA